rnacentral:tRNA from 1 species
GCGUUCGUAGCUCAACUGGAUAGAGCAGUGGACUUCGAAUCCGAAGGUUGCACGUUCAAGCCGUGUCGGACGCA